GACAAAAAAAAAAGGAAGAAGAAAGGGAAGUCACGGGAGAAGAAGAAGAAAGGAAAGGGGAAGAAACAAGGUUCCAAGUGGCCGAAAAAGCGUGGAUAACGCCGGAAAACGGAUCUAGAAGUUAAUAGGCAACGUUUUGAGGGUCGGUGAUGUAGAGAUCGGAACGGCUUACAACCUUAAUUCCUCAUGCCAAUAGGCUUGUGAGUGGUUACUUUAUGAAAUAUUUUCAUCUACUAUGACAUAGUUACCAUUGGUUGGGUCUAUUAAGAGUUGAAUCUAGCAAUUUAUGGAUUUUGCAUGAUUGACAAAGUUCAAUUUAUGUUUGACACUUACAAUUAUUCAUAAAUUUGAAAUGACGAUAGUGGUAAAGCUGUUGAUUCCAUAGAAUAAAGAACAACGAUUGAUUUUUAAUGAACUAUGGCUAUGACGUCAGAUUGCAAGUUGAUGACAUUAGAACAAUCGUGGUUAUAGUGUUGUUUGUGAAAAUGAGUGUCAUGGUGGAAAUCAAAUUCCAAUGACUAGAUUGUAUAUCCAUAGUGAUUUCCACUACACAUAUAUAAAUUUACCCUAUAGUAUAUGUAUGAAUGGAUUGUCUGCUUCGCGUUUGGGAGUGUUCUCGACGUGUUGUAUGAUUAGUUUGCUCUGUUAUGUAUAUUGAGAUUAUUGAUAUAUAGCAAGACCAGAAUUUGCUC